CCUACGGGUGGCGGCAGUGGGGAAUAUUGGGCAAUGGGCGCAAGCCUGACCCAGCAACGCCGCGUGAAGGAAGAAGGCUUUCGGGUUGUAAACUUCUUUUCUCAGGGACGAACAGAUGACGGUACCUGAAGAACAAGCCCCGGCUAACUACGUGCCAGCAGCCGCGGUAAAACGUAGGGGGCGAGCGUUGUCCGGAAUGACUGGGCGUAAAGGGUGCGUAGGCGGCAUAAUAAGUUAGAAGUGAAAUACCCAGAGCUUAACUCGGGUGCUGCUUCUAAGACUGUUGAGCUUGAGUGCGGGAGAGGUUAAUGGAAUUCCUAGUGUAGCGGUGGAAUGCGUAGAUAUUAGGAGGAACACCAGAGGCGAAGGCGAUUAACUGGACCGUAACUGACGCUGAGGCACGAAAGUGUGGGUAGCAAACAGGAUUAGAUACCCCAGUAGUC
rnacentral:rRNA from 1 species